rnacentral:rRNA from 1 species
UACGUAGGGUGCGAGCGUUGUCCGGAAUUAUUGGGCGUAAAGAGCUCGUAGGCGGUGUGUCGCGUCGGCCGUGAAAACCUGGGGCUCAACUCUGGGCGUGCGGUCGAUACGGGCAUCACUUGAGUUCGGCAGGGGAGACUGGAAUUCCUGGUGUAGCGGUGAAAUGCGUAGAUAUCAGGAGGAACACCGGUGGCGAAGGCGGCUCUCUGGACCACAACUGACGCUGAGGCGCGAAAAGCCAGGGGGAGCAAACAGG